CUACGGGAUGCAGCAGUGGGGAAUAUUGGACAAUGGGGGAAACCCUGAUCCAGCAAUGCCGCGUGUGUGAAGAAGGCCUGCGGGUUGUAAAGCACUUUCGGUUGGGAGGACUGCUUCUAGCACUAAUAUUGUUGGAAGUUGACGUUACCUUCAGAAGAAGCACCGGCUAACUCCGUGCCAGCAGCCGCGAUAAUACGGAGGGUGCAAGCGUUAAUCGGAAUUACUGGGCGUAAAGCGCGCGUAGGCGGCUAGAUCAGUCGGGUGUGAAAGCCCCGGGCUUAACCUGGGAACUGCAUCCGAUACUGUCUAGCUUGAGUACAGGAGAGGAGAGUGGAAUUCCACAUGUAGCGGUGAAAUGCGUAGAUAUGUGGAGGAAUACCAAUGGCGAAGGCAGCUCUCUGGCCUGAUACUGACGCUGAGGUGCGAAAGCGUGGGGAGCAAACAGGAUUAGAUACCCCAGUAGUC
rnacentral:rRNA from 1 species